ACGCUGGCGGCACGCCUAACACAUGCAAGUCGAACGAAGUAGCAAUACUUAGUGGCAGACGGGUGAGUAACAUGUGGGUAUCUACCCUUUGGCCUGGAAUAACACGAGGAAACUUGUGCUAAUACCGGAUAAGUCUUUACGGAGAAAGCUUUAUGCACCAUUGGAUGAGCCCGCACUUGAUUAGUUUGUUGGUAGGGUAAUGGCCUACCAAGACUAUGAUCAAUAGCUGAUUUGAGAGGAUGAUCAGCCACAUUGGGACUGAGACACGGCCCAAACUCCUACGGGAGGCAGCAGUGGGGAAUCUUGCACAAUGGAGGAAACUCUGAUGCAGCGAUGCCGCGUGAGUGAAGAAGGCCUUUGGGUUGUAAAGCUCUUUCGUCGGGGAAGAAAAUGACUGUACCCGAAUAAGAAGGUCCGGCUAACUUCGUGCCAGCAGCCGCGGUAAUACGAAGGGACCUAGCGUAGUUCGGAAUUACUGGGCUUAAAGAGUUCGUAGGUGGUUGAAAAAGUUGGUGGUGAAAUCCCAGAGCUUAACUCUGGAACUGCCAUCAAAACUUUUCAGCUAGAGUAUGAUAGAGGAAAGCAGAAUUUCUAGUGUAGAGGUGAAAUUCGUAGAUAUUAGAAAGAAUACCAAUUGCGAAGGCAGCUUUCUGGAUCAUUACUGACACUGAGGAACGAAAGCAUGGGUAGCGAAGAGGAUUAGAUACCCUCGUAGUCCAUGCCGUAAACGAUGUGUGUUAGACGUUGGAAAUUUAUUUUCAGUGUCGCAGGG
rnacentral:rRNA from 1 species